AACACUUGACCAGAACCAUCAAGAGAUGGUUUUUCGACCAAAAGACAGCCCCGUCGAGAUUAAUUCACCGUGUCGAUUUUUAUUUAAAUUCUGAUCGAUCAAUCUUCAAACUGAUCUUAAAGAAUUUUCUUCACCAAAAUUAUAUCUGCUCGUGAGGGUUAUUACAACGUCUAUAUAUCCCGUCAGAGCAAUGUUUGUAGAGGUAUGGUUCAUCCCAGUGAUAUCUCCUAACUUCUCUCAAUUUUUUUUUCUUGUAUAACCCUUUAACUCUUCAGAUUCUACGUCAGCAGCUACAUAGUUUACUAUAUCAGCAUACCAAAGUCUAUCGCUUAAACUUCUUUCGACUGCAUGCACCCCCCGACUUAAACUUCUAUCUCCGAGAAAAUCGUCUUCAUGAUGCAAGGUGUUGCAGGCUACACUGACUUUUAUAUCAGUAGUGAUGGUUAUAGGGAAAGUGCCUUGGUCUUGAUCAUCAGAAGUGUCAAUCUACAUAGCAUCGCUGGUGUCGAUCGAUGAGUCCUCAGAUGUAAGACAUACGUUACCAACGAAUGAUGAAUCUGUUUGGUAAACAUUCUCUGUCGGUAAGAAAUCGUCGAUAGGGACAUCAUCCUCUACUCGAAUUUGGGAAAGGUGAUCUGCGACUUCGUUCUCUACUCCUCGUUUGUCCUUAAUCUCUAUGUAAAAUUCCUGGAGUAGUAGGAUCCACCGCAUGAGUCUUGGUUUCGCGUCUUUCUUCUGCAUCAAAUACUAUAUUGCAGCAUGGUCGGUGUGAACAAUGACUCGAGGACCGACUAGGUAUUGGUGGAAUGUUUAAAAUGCAUAAACUACAUCAAGUAGUUAUUUUUCUGUUGUUGCAUAAUCCUUUGUGCCUCACCGAGAGUUCGACUGACAUAGUAAACAUCAUGUAACUUUUUGUCUGUCUUUUGGCGUAGAACUACUCCUACAGCGAAAUCGCUCGCAUCACACAUAAUUCCGAAAGGAAGAUUCCAGUCAGGUGCUUGCACGACGGGGGCAGUUAUUAAGGCUUUCUUUUUUUCUUGAAAAGCUUUUGCGCAUUUUGGUGUGAAGUCAAAUUUGACUUCUUUGCAUAGGAGGGCUAUGAGUGGUCUGGCAAUUUUGCUGAAAUCCUGUAUAAACCUCCUAUAAAAUCCGACAUGCCCGAGAAAACUUCUCACAUCUUUUACGUUUGUGGGUACAGGUAAACCGGUCAUUACGUCAAUUUUGGCUCGAUCCACUUCUAUACCGGCAGCAGAUACUUAUGUCCAAGGACGAUUCCAUCGUUAAGCAUGAAAUGGCAUUUCUCCCAAUUUAGAACAAGGUUCUUUUCUUCAUAUCUUGCCAAAACUUUACACAGGGUAUCAAGGCAGUUUUUGAAACUAGAUCCAUAGACUGAGAAAUCGUCCAUAAAAACUUUCAUGAAAAGUGGCAGGGGCAUUACAAAGAUCGAAUGGCAUUCUACGGUACGCAAUGUUCCAUAAGGGCAUGUAAAGGUGGUCUUUUCGUGAUCGUCAAGAUGUAUAGGGAUUUCGAAAAAUCUGGAAUAUCCAUCGAGAAAACAGUAAUAUUGGUGAUUUAUCAAUCUUUCCAACAUUUGAUCAAUGAAGGGUAAAGAAAAGUGAUCUUUUCUGGUGGCAGCGUUAUGCUUCCUAUAAUUGAUACACAUUUGAUGUCCAGUGCAAUUCGCAUAGGAAUGAUUUCGUCUUUAUCAUUCUUCACCAUUGUAAUACCUUGAUAGCACUCCAAUUACCCUAAGGAGUGAUUUAUACUCUCUCAAAUAAGAGGUCGAGUUGUUGUACUUAGGGAUCGAAUUCACAGGGAGCUAGGGGACCUAAAAAAUCUAAUAUGAUUUGUUAAGCAGGAUGUUUUAAUGAUUUAAAUGUAAAUUUCAGUUUUUUAUCAAGCAAAUGUUUGCUCAAUUGAUUGGUUGAAGAUUUGGUGCUUAAAAAGAAAUAGCUAGACUUAGGGUUUUUAUUCAGGAAACUUGGGAUUAUAAUCCUACAAAUGCCUAAUGAGUUGCAUGCAUGAUAAUGUAAAGCUCAACUACUUAGUCAACAAGUCUAUCAGCUUUCGCAUGUUUGGACUUGUCUAUUAACUAGAUCUAAUGAUCUCAACUAUCGUUUGCCGAUCAAUUAGAAAGUGUCGAUCGAUGAUCCUACAGGGAUAUAGAUCGAUUCACCUUUCGCUCCGUCGAUCGAUUAUUCAAUAAUGAUAUCGACCGACGCGCUUCUAGUUAAGCUUUAUGCGCGGGUUGAAUGGUAACUUACUAAGCUCACUAGAUCCGCUCUCGCCUUACUCAUAGCAAGAAACUUAGCUCAGUUAGAAUGUUUUCAGGUUGAGAAUGAAGCUCUCGCUUUUAUCUAACAUUCCGAGGGCAAGUUCUAGGUAGUUAAUCUAGAAACAUGCAUUAAUGAACAAUCCUAAUGACAAUUACCACAACUCAGUAAUAUAUAGUUGGGGCUAAUACCUCCUAACCUAUUUAAACCAUAAAUCUAACAAUGGAACUAAUCAGACAUGGCUAAGCAAUUCAUAACAACAAUUAGGUUAGGAAACUUCAUUAGAAUAGUAAAUAGAUAUUAAUGGAGUUUGAUUUACCAUGGAUUUGAACCAUUUUCAUCCAUGGUAUAUAUGUGUUUUACUAUAUACAUAUAUAUAUAUAUAUAUAUAUUAUAUUCUAUCCUAUUUGGUAUGUUUUCAGGUUAGGGAGUAUCUCGGAGUAAAGUGAUUAUUAUGAAGCAUUUAGGAGCUUAAAAGAUAUUUCAUCCGAGCUGACCAUUAGAGGUCGAUACGAAGAAGAAGCAAUCGUUCGAUGCACAUCCAGUGUCGUCGAUCGAUACAGAAGAGAAGCCUUGACGAUUGACUAUUAUGAUCGAUCGAUGUACAUCCUAUACCAUCGAUCGAUGUCGAGACGCGAGAUGCGCGACUUGGUUCCAGACGACUUUAAAGCCAAGAUUUCACCAAAUUACAAGAUUACCCCUAACGAGUUUUUAACCUAAUAGUUAUAUACUUUCCUAAGUGUUAGGAGGCAAGGAGAGCUUUUAGCCACCACUGUAUUCUUAAUUUCAGCAAAAGAGAGAGAGAGUUUUAGGAGAGAAAAUCAUAGAGAGAUUUAUGAUUGGAACUCCAUUGAUUCAUCUAUUCUAUUCUAUGCAGUUUUUAUUGUGUCAUGAAUUGCUUAGCUAUGUAUGAGUAGUUUACUUGUUAGAUUCAGGGUUCAAAUAAGUUAGAGAGAUUAGCCCCAACUAUAGAUUUGCUGAGUUCUGAUAUUCAUUGAUUGAUUGUUCUUAAUGCUUGUUUUAGCCUUGCUAACUAGAACAUGUACCUAGGAAUUUGCAUGUGUCAAGCAUCCUUGAUCAUCCUGUCCUGAAUCUAAUCUGUCAUGCUAGGACUGCUAGAGAGAGCUAACCGCUGAUCUAGGAGACUAGUGAGCAUUAUCAACCCGCACCUAGGGCUUAGCUAGAAUCUAUCGAUCGCUAUUGUCUUCUGACAAUUGAUCGAUUUUGUGAAAGGUGUAUCGAUCGAUAUCCAUAUAGGAUCACCGAUCGACAGUUUCUUGUGAUCAAAAGACGACAGUUGAGAUCCAAGAUCUAGUUAGUUAACCAGUGAAAGAUUGCCAUCGCUGAUCACUGUGAUUAAGUAGUUGAGCUUUAAUAUAUCAUGCAUGCAACUGUUAAGCAUCUAUAGGAUUAUAAUCUCUAACACCUGAAUAGAAACCAUGCAUCUAAUAUCUUCCAAUAAAGUUACACCCCCAAUUAUCUUGUUAGUCGAGCAAUAAACUUGCUCAAUUAGGAUAGCUAUUUACUUCUAAGCCAUAAAACAACAAACACCUAGAAUUAAUAACCUGACAAGAUUUAAUAGGUUCUCUAGCUCCUUGUGGAUUCAAUCCCUAAGUAUUGCAACUGGACCUCUUAUUUGAGAGAGUAAUUCACUUCUUAGGGUAAUUUUAGUGGUAUCAAAUUUGGCGCCGUUGCCAGGGAGCUUUGAUCGCCAUUACAUUUAGUGUUAUUGAUUCUUAUUUUUUUUCUCUACCCCCAUUCUGACACAAAAUUUUUUCUUUUCUUUUCAGGUGCAUGCGCAGCAGUACCAGAAGCAACAAGGACAAACACCUGCUAUUCUCAGAAGAUCCUACUCACUUGGAGCGCACGAUCCGCAAAGACCAACGUUCCACAUCGAUUGACGCAACAGCUUUCACGUAGACUGAUUUUUGCAUCCAACCGUCGACCGACACCCGACCUUCAUCGUCGACCGAUCUACUUCAGUCGACAUCGAUCGAUACUACACCACGUACAUCGAUCGAUCAUUAGUCGCGAAACAUGGUUGCGAUUGUUAUUCUCAGACAGGACGAGAAUGGAAACCUGUAUGACCAGGAUGGUCAUCUGCGUAAUGCAACAGGUCAGAAACUAGACGCUCAGGGGAAUGUAAUCUCUGAUACUGAUGCUACAGGAGCUGCUAAAGAUGUAGAAGAGGCUGCUCGACCAAGGGCACUGGCUGACUACAAUAGUCCAGAUGAGUACUACGCCAACAGAUCAGCUAUUCGACUCCCAGAGAUUCAGAAGCAGAAUUUUGAGCUGAAGCCUCAGUACUACACACUCGUGUCGCAGAUACCCUACUCUGGGUUACCGCACGAGCAUCCUAUGGACCAUAUAGAGAGGUUCGAUGAUCUUAUCGCUAUUAUUCAUAUGGAUGGAUUCCCUGAGGACAACCUAUUGUGCAAGCUCUUCAAGUAUUCUCUGACUGGAGAAGCGAUGUACUGGCUUAAGCAGCUACCCACAUGAUCUCUAACAUCCUGGGCCGACAUCAAGAAUGCUUUCUUGCGAAACUUCUUCUAUAAGGCAUGCCCUGAAGACUUGAGGAGCAAAAUUGCUACAUUCGCGCAAGAGACUGGAGAGUCUUUCAAAGAUGCGUGGAUCAGAUUCAAGUUCUUCCAGCGAGACUGUCCACACCACAAAUUCAACGAAGUGCAACUGCUGAGCACUUUCUUCAGAGGUAUCGCCUUAAGGUAUCAGAUGGCUCUUGAUAUAGCUAGCGAGGGAAAAUUCAACACCAGAAAUCCGGUGGAAGCUGUGAGACUGAUAGAAAAUCUAGCAAACAGCAGCAGCACCAAGAACACUGACUUUGAGAGGAAGAAGUGUGUUGCAUCCCUAGGGAAGGAGCAGAUGGACAAAUAGUGGUUUCCAUGAAAGUUUUGCAGUAGAGACUGUAAUUCAUUCAUCCAAUGAGAAUCCUACUGAGGAGUAUGAUGAGGAUUACUGGAAGGAAAGAGCUAUAGAGAUUGCUAUGCAAGAUGACAGAUAUUCAAGCCAUUCCUUCAAAAACACGUUUCCACCAUCGACUGACAGAGUCUACUCAGCAUCGGUCGAUACCCAUCUCAUCCAGCAAAAUGAUCCUAUGCAUCGAUCGAUACCACACCUGGUACAUCGAUCGAUAUUAAAGUCGCCGCCUUAAAAAAGGAGAAAGGGAAUAUUUCAAUCCCAAGUAGGUUUACCAACACCUAUAUAAGGGGUUUUACACCCUAGAUAACUUAUCAUGACACUGAAGCAGAAGAGAUGAAUGCUCUCACUAACCAAUCAGAAGGAACAUCCAGGAGGAGCAUUUGAUCCAAAAACCCUGAUUCAGCAGACAAACGUCUACCUUCGAUCGAUACUACAAUAUCAACAUCGAUCGAUUCUCAUUCUAAACAUAAACUUUCUUUAUUUACUAAGAAGAAUAUGAGUAUUGAUUACGAUUUUUUAACUCCUGAUGAAUUUGGUAUUUUCAGGGAUUCAGAUGGCCAUGCAAGAGCUAUGGAUGAAAGGAUUCUACAAGUAUCCAGAGAGGACAUAGUAGAGAUUCUUCAGUUGGCCAAUGAACCAGACAACUUGUUUAUGCAGCAACGCAGCAUUCCAGUCAACAUUUCAGCUGUUCCAGACGAAUAUCCAAGGGCUGACACAACAGAUAUUGGUUCACACCAAUCAUGCCGACCAGUUGGCCAAGCAUCGAUCGACAAGGUUGCUCCUACAUCAUUCUACAAGGUAACACCAAUGUCGCUCGACAAGGCAUCUUCACCAUCGAUCGACAGACAUUACGAAUUUGGACAUCGCGCUUAUGACAUCUAUGGAGCCAGAAAGUUCAUAUGGGAACAGAAGGACGAAUAUGGUGUCUAUAGAGAUGAGUCUGGAUAUGAAAGGAGCGUAGCUGGUGAGAUGAUCCCUGUUACCAAGGACAACAUCAGAAAAAUUCUGGAGAGAGCAUCACUACUUGAAGAGAGUCACAUAUGUCUUCCAGAACAUGCCACUUCUUUCACACCUACAAAACUGGCACUAGAGAUCUACACCAAGGAUGAGAUCAAAGAGAUGGUGACUGGUAUUUGUGGAGCUCAGGAAAAGCUAGGAGAUGAACUCAAGACAUUGGUAGAUGACAUUUAUCAGCCUUUGGACAUAGGUUACAAUGAGCUUUUCAGAAGUAUGGCAGAGAUGAGGACAGAGAUUGAGAGUAUGCAGCACAACCUUGAGAAAGAAGCUACGACAUAACCAUCGAUCGACGCCAACAAAGGUACAUCGAUCGGCGUCAAGCCACAAACAUCCCAGAUCCCUGCAGAACCGGAAAGUUUGGCAAAGAAGAAGGAUGAAUGGGAGAUCGCAUACAUCAAUACGAGGAUUAACGACAUAUACAACCCUCUCAACAACAACGUGGACUGGUUAAGCACUAGAAUUGAUCUGCUACAGCAAGAUUUAAACACCAUUCGCAAGAAAGAUCCACAACCAGCCACAUCGAUCGAUAUCUGCACCAUCACAUCGAUCAACAACAAGUUCGCAGCCAUGGCAGAUAGGUUACAAACCCACGAGGAUAUGCACGACCGUUUCACCUCACCUAUCAUGCGAUACUUGGACACCUUGUCUACACAGAUGAUGAAUAUCCAGAGGGACAUUGGUAAGCUUAAUGAUCAACAUGAUUUGUAGGAAGAAGGUUAAACAUCGAUCGAUAGGUUCCGCAGGGCAUCGCUCGACGGCAAGAAACCUACAUAACAUCUUGCAUACACAACAUCUGAAGUUCAUCAGAUCACAUCAAAGCUUUACACAGCUAUAGACACCAUGGAGGAAUGACUUGAGAAGCAGUGUGAUGACACAUCUACUUUCCAUUCGAUGUCAGACUCGGUGGAAUGGAUAGCCAAGCAGGGUGGUUACAGAAGGAAGUCAAAGCCAUUCAGAGGUAACACGCGUCUCAACACCAGAUAUCAGCAUCGAUCAACAUAAAACACUCCAAAUCUAUCGACAGUAAAGCACCAGCAUCGACCGAUAAACACUUGGUUGCAUCAAUCGAUACCACGUCUACACCAGACGACAAGCAGCUGAUACAAAACAAAAUGGAGUCAAUGCAUGAGGAACUGAACGAGCUAUCAGAAUACGCCUAUGACAAGAUAGGAUGGACCCAAUUCAGCAUUGAAAACAUCCUAGAAAGGCUACAGAACAUCUCAACUGCAAUAGAGAAAAUGGAAGAGAGAUGGACCAGAAACGUUGAGGCCACAAGAAGUUUCAUUGCAGCCUUGUCCAGAAUGUGCAGAGAUGAGGUGGAUGGUUGUUUCCCAACAAGUAGCUGUCUUUCCACCAACUAGCCACACACCUCCACAGUCAAUCUAAAUGACUAUAACAAAGCGCUGAGUGGGAGGCAACCCACUAUUAGUUAAUUUUAAUUUGUUUUCUUUCUUACUAGUAUUUACUUUCGUUUUCAUUCUUUCAGAUUCAUUGCAAGACCCAAGUAGGAUGAUUACCAACAUAUCGACCGUGGACGAGACGUCGACUUCGAUCGACUUACAAUCACAUACGACGAUCGAUGCAUACCGAUGCACAUCGAUCGAUUCCUACUCCAGUCAGGUUUAUCUUCCUAACUUGUUACAUUGAAUACUUAUGAUUUAUUUCCAUCAUAACUCCGACUGUGUUACCAUCGGACAGUGUAAUUUAAGUCUAGGAGAGGUUUACGGAUAUUACUUAUUCUAAUUCUUAUAAAAGGAUUUUAAUAAAGUUAUGCUUAGGUAUGUGAAAGGGACUAUGAUCUUAUUAUUGAUUUAUACUUGAAUGUCUAACCACUCUUUAGCACCAAUAGAUUUACUGAUUGCAGAUAGUACUAAAGAUGCUUAAGUGGAUCAACAUGUCAACUAUACACACUUGCCUUGAUUGUUUGAAGGAACCAAAGCUGACCUUCAACACUAAACCUGACAUAAUCCCUUGUUUUGGGGGUUGGUAUACAUGCUAUCGGAUUCUUCAGACAAGUCUUGAAGGUAACGCCUUGUGUAGACACAUUUAUCACAUUUCCUCUCUCUAUUUCGGCCGUAGAGUAGUUAGUGAUAUUCUCAAUAAAAAAAUAUCUGAAAUUUAUUACUUAAUUAAAACAUAGGAUCUAGUUCGGAGGAGUCUGAACAUGACUUUGUGGCUAAAACCAUUAAGGCUUGAUUCAUAAAGAUUCCAAUAAAAGAAUUCGAACGGGACUUGGAGGCGGCAAUCUUCAAGGCUCGCUCCACAAAGAAUUCUUGGAUAUAGGUCAAACAGAAGUGAAUAGGGCUUGGUGGCAACCACCAUUAAGUUUUGAUUCAUGGAAGCAUGUCCAAUCUUGGUCACUGAUCCUGCAAUGGAAGCAGACUUUGACUCAAGAGAGAAAUUAGAGAGAGAGAAAUUAGGAACUAACUUUUACCUGCAUUUCCAGAUGCUAGUCUGAAAAUCCUUGCAUCAUGUGAUCGACAUUCCCAAGGUAAAGCAUGGACUUUUAUAUUUAUGCUAAGAAAUGAGGUUAGUAGAGGGGAAUGUAAGAUAUGAUUUGAUGAGUUGUAGGCUAGUUAAAUUUGGUUGUUAAGCUAGGAUAUUGCAUAAUGUGCUUUUGUGAUUAGGACCUUUUAGAUGUGUUUUGCGAAAUUGUAGAGGUGAUGAUUUCUAUGUGUUAAAUCUGUGAGUCCCUGCUGUUUUCAAACCUGUUUCAGAGAGACUGCAUGUUUGUUUUCCAUGACGACAAGCAAAAGGGUAAGUGUGGGGGAGUUGAUAUACCAUGGAUUUCACCCAUUUUCAUCUAUGGUAUAUAAGUGUGUUACUAUCUACAUAUUAUAUAUUCUAUCGUAUUAGGUAUGUUUUCAGGUUCAGAAGUAUCUUGGACUAAAGUGAUGAUUAUGGAGCAUUUUGGAGCUUAAAAGAGAUUUCAUCCGAGCUGACCAUUAGAGGUCGAUACGAAGAAGAAGCAAUCGAUUGAUGUGCAUCCUGUACGAUCGAUCAAUGUCGAUACGCGAGAUGCGCGACUUGGUUCCAGCCGACUUUAAACCCAAGGCUUCACAAAAUUACAAGAUUACCCCUGACGAAUUUUUAUCCUAAUAGUUAUAUACUUGCCUAAGUGUUAGGAGGCAAAAAAGAGGAGAGCUUUAGCCACAAUUGUCUUCUUACUUUCAGCAAGAGAGAGAGAGAGAGAGAGAGAGUUUUUAAGGAGAGAAAAUCAUAGAGAGAUUUGUGAUUGGAACUCCAUUGAUUCAUCUAUUCUAUUCUAUGCAGUUUUUAUCUAUAUUUUGUGUCAUGAAUUGCUUAGCUAUGUCUGAGUAGUUUACUUGCUUGAUUCAGGGUUCAAAUAGGUUAUAGGGAUUAGUCCCAACUAUAGAUUUGCUGAGUUGUGAUAUUCAUUGAUUGAUUGUUCUUAAUGCUUGUUUUAGCCUUGCUAACUAGAACAUGAACCUAGGAAUUUGCAUGUGUCAAGCAUCCUUGAUCAUCAUGUCCUAUCUAAUUUCUCAUCCUAGGACUGCUAGAGAGAGCUAACCGCUGAUAUAGGAGACUAGUGAGCAUUAUCAACCCGCGGCUAGGACUUAGCUAGAAGCUAUCGAUCGAUAUUGUCUUCUGACAAUCGAUCGAUAUUGCAAAAGGUGUAUCGAUCGAUAUCAAUAUAAGAUCAUCGAUCGACAUUUUCUUGUGAUCUAAAGACGACAGUUGAGAUCCAAUAUCUAGUUAGUUAACCAGUGAAACAUUGCCAUUGCUGAUAACUGUUAUUAAGGAGUUGAGCUCUAAUAUAUCAUGCAUGCAACUGUUAGGCAUCUAUGGGAUUAUAAUCGCUAACACCUGUAUAGAAACCCUGCAUCUAAUAUCUUCCAAUAAAUUUACACCCCCAAUCAUCUUGUUAGUCGAGCAAUAGACUUUCUUAAUGAGGAUUGCUAUUUACUUUUAAACCAUAAAACAAAAAAAAAACCCUAGAAUUAAUAACCUUACUAGAUUUAAUAGGUUCCUUAGCUAUUUGUGGAUUUGAUGCCUAAGUACUGCAACUGAACCUCUUAUUUGAGAGAGUAAUUCUCUCCUUAGGGUAAUUUGAGCGGUAUCAUUCCGCAGGGAAUCGCUCGACGGAAAGAAACCUACAGAACAUCUUCCCUACACAGCAGCAGAAGUUGAUCAAAUCACAUCAAAGCUUUACACCGCUAUAGACACCAUGGAGGAACGACUUGAGAAGCAGUGUGAUGACAUCUACUUUCCAUUCGACGUCAGACUCGGGGGACUGGAUAGCCAAGCUGAGUGGUUACAGAAGGAAGUCAAAACCAUUCAGAGGAAACUCGCAUCUCAACACCAGAUAUCAACAUCGAUCGACAGUAAGGCACCAGCAUCGACCGAUAAACACUUGGUAGCAUCGAUGGAUACCACGUCUACACGAGAGGACGAGCAGCUGAUACAAAACAAAAUAGAGUCAAUGCAUGAGGACCUGAACGAGCUAUCAGCAUACGCCUACGAAAAGAUAGGAUGGCAUCAGUUUAGCAUUGAAAACAUCCUAGAAAGGCUACAUAACAUCUCAAAUGCAAUACAGAAGAUGGAUGAGAGAUGGACCAGAAAUGUUGAGGCGACAAGAAGUUUCAUUGUAGCCUUGUCCAGAAUGUGCAGAGAUGAGGUGGAUGCUUGUUUCCCAUCAAGUAGUUGUCUUUCCACCAACUAGCCACACACCUCCACAGUCAAACUAAAUGACUAUAACAAAGCGCUGAGUGGGAGGCAACCCACUAUUAGGUAAUUUUAAUUGGUUUUCUUAGUUACUAGUAUUUACUUUCGUUUUCAUUCUUUCAGAUUUAUUGCAAAACCCAAGUAGGAUGAUUACCAAUAUAUCCACCGUAGAUGAGACGUCGACAUCGAUAGACCUAGAAUCACAUACGACGAUCGAUGCAUACCGAUGCACAUCGAUCGAUUCCUACUCCAGUCAGGUUUAUCUUCCUACUUUUUACAUUGAGUACUUAUGAUUUAUUUCCACCAUAACUCUGACUGUGUUACAAUCGGAUAGUGUAAUUUCAGUCUGGGAGAUGUUUACUGAUAUUACUUAUUCUGAUUCUUAUAAAAGGAUUUUAAUAAAGUUAUGCUUAGCUAUGUGAAAGGGACUAUGAUCUUAUUAUUGAUUUAUACUUGAAUGUCUAACCACUCUUUAGCACCAUUCUAGAUUUACUGAUUGCAGAUAGUACUAAAGAUGCUUAAGUGGAUCAACAUGUCAACUAUACACACUUGCCUUGAUUAUCUGAAGGAACCAAAGCUGACCUUCAACACUAAACCUGACAUAAUCGCUUGUUUUGGGGCUUGGUAUACAUGGGAUCGGAUUCUUCAGACAAGUCUGGAAGGAUCUAGUUCGGAAGAGUCUGAACCGGACUUGGUGGCUAAAACCAUUAAGGCAUCAUUCAUAAAUAUUCCAAUAAAAGAAUUCGAACGAGACUUGGAGGCGGCAAUCUUCAUGGCUCGCUUCACAAAGAAUUCUUCGAUAUAGGUCAAACAGAAGUGAGUAGGGCUUGGUGGCAACCACCAUUAAGUCUUGAUUUAUGGAACCCUGUCCAAUCUUGGUCACUGAUCCUGCAAUGGAAGCAGACUUUGACUCAAGAGAGAAAUUAGAGAGAGAAAAAUUAGGAACUAACUUUUACCUGCAGUUCCAGAUACUUGUCUGAAAAUCCUUGCAUCAUGUGAUCGACACUCCCAAGGUAAAGCAUGCACUUUUAUAUUUAUGCUAAGAAAUGAGGUUAGUAGAGGGAAAUGUCAGACAUGAUUUGCUGAGUUGUAGACUAGUUGAAUUUGGUUGUUAAGUUAGGAUAUUGCAUAAUAUGCUUUUGUGAUUAGGACUCUUUAGAUGUGGUUUGCGACAUUGUAGAGGUGAUGAUUUUUAUGUGUUAAAUCUGUGAGUACCUGCUGUUUUCAUACCGGUUUUAGAGAGAUUGCAUGUUUGUUUUGCUUGACGACAAGCAAAAGGGUAAGUGUGGGGGAGUUGAUAUACCAUGGAUUUGACCCAUUUUCAUCCAUGGUAUAUAAGUGUUUUACUAUCUAUAUAUUAUAUAUUCUAUCCUAUUAGGUAUGUUUUCAGGUUCAGAAGUAUCUUGGAGUAAAGUGAUGAUUAUGGGACAUUUAGUAGCUUAAAAGAGUUUUCAUCCGAGCUGACCAUUAGAGGUCGAUACGAAGAAGAAGCAAUCGAUCGAUGUGCAUCCUGUACCAUCGAUCGAUGUCGAUACGCGAGAUGCGCGACUUGGUUCCAGCCGACUUUAAACCCAAGGCUUCAAAAAAUUACAAGAUUACCCUUGACGAGUUUUUAACCCAAUAGUUAUAUACUUGCCUAAGUGUUUGGAGGCAAAAAAGAGGAGAGCUUUAGCCACCAUUGUAUUCUUACUUUCAGCAAGAGAUAGAGAGAGUUUUAUAGGAGAGAAAAUCAUAGAGAGAUUUGUGAUUGGAACUCCAUUGAUUCAUCAAUUCUAUUCUAUACAGUUUUUAUCUAUAUUUUGUGUCAUGAAUUUCUUAGCUAUGUCUGAGUAGUUUACUUGUUUGAUUCAGGGUUCAAAUAGGUUUGCUGAGUUGUGAUAUUCAUUGAUUGAUUGUUCUUAAUGCUUGUUUUAGCCUUGCUAACUAGAACAAGAACCUAGGAAUUUGCAUGUGUCAAGCAUCCUUGAUCAUCAUGUCCUGAAUCUAAUUUCUCAUGCUAGGACUGCUAGAGAGAGCUAACCGCUGAUCUAGGAGACUAGUGAGCAUUAUCAACCCGCGCCUAGGACUUAGCUAGAAGCUAUCGAUCGAUAUUGUCUUCUGACAAUCGAUCGAUAUUGGAAAAGGUGUAUCGAUCGAUAUCUGUAUAAGAUCAUCGAUCUACAUUUUCUUGUGAUCUAAAGACGACAGUUGAGAUCCAAGAUCUAGUUAGUUAACCAGUGAAACAUUAUCAUUGCUGAUAACUGUGAUUAAGGAGUUGAGCUCUAAUAUAUCAUGCAUGCAACUGUUAGGCAUCUAUGGGAUUAUAAUCUCUAACACGUUUAUAGAAACCCUGCAUCUAAUAUCUUCCAAUGAAGUUACACCCCCAAUCAUCUUGUUAGUCGAGCAAUAGACUUGCUUAAUGAGGAUUGCUAUUUACUUUUAAACUAUAAAGCAACAAAAACCUAGAAUUAAUAACCUUACUAGAUUUAAUAGGUUCCUUAGCUAUUUGUGGAUUUGAUCCCUAAGUACUGCAACUGAACCUCUUAUUUGAGAGAGUAAUUCUCUCCUUAGGGUAAUUUGAGUGGUAUCAUUCCGCAGGGCAUCGCUCGACGGCAAGAAACCUACAGAACAUCUUCCCUACACAGCAGCAGAAGUUGAUCAAAUCACAUCAAAGCUUUACACAGCUAUAGACACAAUGGAGGAACGACUUGAGAAGCGGAGUGAUGACAUCUACUUUCUAUUCGACGUCAGACUCGGUGGACUGGAUAGCCAAGCUGACUGGUUACAGAAGGAAGUCAAAGCCAUUCAGAGGCAACUCGCAUCUCAACACCAGAUAUCAACAUCGAUCAACAGUAAGGCACCAGCAUCUACUGAUAAACACUUAGUUGCAUCGAUGGAUACCACGUCUACACGAGACGACGAGCAGCUGAUACAAAACAAAAUAGAGUCAAUGCAUUAGGAACUGAACGAGCUAUCAGCAUACGCCUACGAAAAGAUAGGAUUGCAUCAGUUUAGCAUUGAAAACAUCCUAUAAAGGCUACAUAACAUCUCAAAUGCAAUACAGAAGAUGGAUGAGAGAUGGACCAGAAAUAAUGAGGCCACAAGAAGUUUCAUUGCAGCCUUGUCCAGAAUGUGCAGAGAUGAGGUGGAUGCUUGUUUCCCAUCAAGUUGUUGUCUUUCCACCAACUAGCCACACACCUCCACAGUCAAGCUAAAUGACUAUAACAAAGCGCUGAGUGGGAGGCAACCCACUAUUAGGUAAUUUUAAUUGGUUUUCUUAGUUACUUGUAUUUACUUUCGUUUUCAUUCUUUCAGAUUUAUUGCAAGACCCAAGUAGGAUGAUUACCAACAUAUCGACCGUGGACGAGACAUCAACAUCGACAUCGAUCGACCUACAAUCACAUACGACGAUCGAUGCAUACCGAUGCACAUCGAUUGAUUCCUACGCCAGUCAGGUUUAUCUUCCUAACUUGUUACAUUGAGUACUUAUGAUUUAUUUCCACCAUAACUCCGACUGUGUUACAAUCAAACAGUAUAAUUUAAGUCUGGGAGAGGUUUACUGAUAUUAAUUAUUCUGAUUCUUAUAAAAGGAUUUUAAUAAAGUUAUGCUUAGCUAUGUGAAAGGGACUAUGAUCUUAUUAUUGAUUUAUACUUGAAUGUCUAACCACUCUUUAGCACCAUUCUAGAUUUACUGAUUGCAGAUAGUACUAAAGGUGCUUAAGUGGAUCAACAUGUCAACUAUACACACUUGCCUUGAUUGUUUGAAGGAACCAAAGCUGACGUUCAACACUAAACCUGACAUAAUCGCUUGUUUUGGGGCUUGGUAUACAUGGGAUCGGAUUCUUCACACAAGUCUGGAAGGUAACGCCUUGUGUAGAUUCAUUUAUCACAUUUCCUCUCUCUAUUUCGACCCUAGAAUAGUUAGUGAUAUUAUC